GACGAACGCUGGCGGCGUGCCUAAUACAUGCAAGUCGAACGCUGAAGAGAGGAGCUUGCUCUUCUUGGAUGAGUUGCGAACGGGUGAGUAACGCGUAGGUAACCUGCCUUGUAGCGGGGGAUAACUAUUGGAAACGAUAGCUAAUACCGCAUAACACUGGAUGACACAUGUCAUUUAUGUGAAAGGGGCAAUUGCUCCACUACAAGAUGGACCUGCGUUGUAUUAGUUAGUAGGUGAGGUAAUGGCCCACCUAGGCGACGAUACAUAGCCGACCUGAGAGGGUGGUCGGCCACCCUGGGACUUGGACCCGGCCCAGGCUCCUACCGGAGGCAGCAGUAGGGAAUCUUCGGCAAUGGGGGCAACCCUGACCGAGCAACGACGCGUGAGGGGAGGAGGUUUUCGGGUCGUAAAGCUCUGUUGUUAGUCAAGAACGGGUGUGAGGGUGGAAAGUUCACGCUGUGACGGUAGCUUACCAGAAAGCGACGGCUAACUACGUG
rnacentral:rRNA from 1 species